AGGACUAAACACGUUCUCGUAUGAUCAUCAAAGUUAAGCAACGUUGAGCCUGAUCAGUACCUAGAUGAGUGACCACUUGGGAAUACUAGGUGCUGUAA